rnacentral:tRNA from 1 species
GUGCUCGUAGCUCAGCAGGAUAGAGCAACGGCCUUCUAAGCCGUAGGUCGGGGGUUCGAAUCCCUCCGGGCACG